GCGACCAAAAAUUUGGUCGCCAAAAACUUGUUUUCAGCAACCAAAAAAAAUUAGUCGCCAAAUUAGUAUUUUUAGCGACUAAUAUGUUAGUCGCCGUUGAUUGAGAUUUGGCGACUAAAAUAAUUAGUCGUUAUAUAUUUGAGAUUUUGCGACAAAAAAGGAAUUUAGUCGUUAAAGGCGAAAUUUUUUUAGAGGGAAAUCUCGCGCCCACCCCUGUUCUCUGUUUACAAUUACACACAACAUUUUGUUCAAAUUCUCCUCCAAAGCCAAACCUCACCCCAUCGUAACAGAUCGCCACAUCUACAUCGUCGAUGAUCCUCCUCCUUCUCCUCUGCCUGUGCCUCCGCCGAAUCCGAGAAGAUCGUCGAGAUCUGAAUCAGAUUUGAGUCCUAGGCCGAGAUCUGAUCGUCGUGAGCGAUCCACAGCGACACAAUGGCUUCCAAAUCCUACAAGAAGAUCAUCGAUAUCUACGACGACCUCAUCCUUCAGAGCUUCAAGCAGUUCGAUUUCGUCUAAAGGGAUCCAUACUCGAAGGGAAUUGAUCCUGAUGCAUUGAAAACUUCUCUAGCUGCUGCAUGUGGUAUCUAAAUUCUAAAAUAAUUCCUAAAAGCAUAACAAUUGCCAUUCUAUCUUUUAGUGUUUCUUUGAAAAUGUUAUAUGCGUUUUGAUGAGCUUUACACUUAGUUAUUUGAUUUGGUUGGUUGGUCUUAGUCGCGGAAGGCCCAAGUCAUAUUCCUGGAUUUAAUAGUUGUCUUGUUGGCUGAGAAUGCAUGUGAUCACUUGAUGUUGCACAGGUCUUUCAAAAUUGUUAUUUAUUUUUUGCCUUUUUAUAUAAUCUCAAGUGGUAUGGUUAAAAAAAUAAUGGUUGCCAAUGAAGAAGUGGCAGUUGCUUCUUAUCCUUGCUCCUAUAUGCCCCUGUAUUUAUUUCUUAAUUCUUGUCAAUACAUCUGUGCACCUAGUAGACUAGUGUGAUAGAUAGAUUGGGUGCUCUAGCAUUCUCCAAUAGCAUGCUUUCUGGACAAUUUUCUUUUGGCUGCUAGAUAUGGGCGCGAUAGCACUCUCUAGAA